ACUUGAACGGUGAACACAUGGUGAGUGAACAGUGAACGCAUAGUGAGCGAACAGUAAAUGCACUCAGAGCAAAUGCUGAACGCAAUUUGGCGCACGGUGAACGUAAAGUGAACGGAAGUGUCAUAUUGUCAUUUUGGUGGGGGCCAAGUCAGAAGCAUCAGUGUAUGUUCGAUGCUUAUGUUGCCUCAAAGGAUAUGAUAGGGUGUGGUUCAUUUAACCGAAAGGAAUUUCUAUCAGGACAGCAGAUCACAUUAUAUUUUAGUUGCCUCUAUGCCAUUGAGAAGACGAUUAAAGCCAUGAUGACUAUAUAUGCGCAAAAUUAGAAAAUGAAAAAGAUUGUGUGUGCUUAUCUUGUCUAUUUUGUAAUAUAUGAUUCUAAAAUAAAGGUAUACCAUUUAUAAUAGGAUACGAUUAUGAAAUAUUCAUCAUCGGAACCAACUGCUCAAAGGCUGUAAUUAAGUGCCGAGCAUACGCCUAAAUUUUGCAACCCUCACUGACAAUGGUGACGUCUCCAUAUGAGUGAACAAUUCUUCGGCGGUACGUUAAAUGAUAAUCAAUGAAUCAACCCGUGGGUUCCAACGAUGUCAGAUAUUAAAGAUAUUGACUUUCCCAGCAUACUAAAUGACUUCAAUAUGAACAUCAUUGGUAUGUUACAGUUACAAGCAAGGUCUUCUUAUGAUGUUGAAAUAUAAUUCACAUACCUAUGUUUAAAAAGAUACGUUAAACGAGUGAUCAUGAUGAACGUCCAGACUCUAGAAAACAGAGGCCCUCAAUUGUUUUUAAUCAAAUGCUAAGGUCACGAGUCAAGGUCAAAAUACUUCCUCAUAAGUAACUGUAAAUUGUCAAGUCAUGUAUUAAAAAAUGUUAGUUUAAUAGAUUUCAUACAUGGUACUGGCAUAACAUUUCUUGCACAUACAUAGUAAGCAGAGCUAAUAUUGAACUGCUGGGAGAGAGAGAGAGAGGGGGGGGGGGGGUAAUUCCUCAUGAAUCAAUGAUAAAUUACAAUCUUUAUGUAUCUUAUUUAGUUUAUUUAACUUGAACAAUUCUUAAGAUCAAUGAUUCAAUUUCAAUGUCACACUUAAUUCGAUUGGCAAGGUGAAAAAAUGUACAUGAUAGUUUGAAAUAACCGAAAUAUUCAAAUAUGCAUUUUCUAGAUAUGGUAGUUAUUUUGAUGAAUUCUUAAUAUACAUUUGCAAUUUGUGAUACAUGUACAAUACACAAAUAGAAAUCAUGCACAUUUGAAGAAAAAAAAAGAAAAAAAACCCCAAAAACUAUGCAUUGAUUUAAUUAUCUGUUACAAAUUAAGAGUGUUUAUGAUUGAAGAACAUGCAUGAUGUAUAACAAAAUGAGAUUUACUUGAAAAGAAUGUGAACAUCAAGUUUGCUGUUUUAUGAUAUUUUGUUACUAUAGCAACAAUGUAAUAUGAAUUAUCUAUCAGUAUUAAUAUUUUAUCAACUAUAACAUUGACUUCAGUUGAAUCUGUCUAUAAAGGCAUUUUUUAUUUUGGUCUAAAAAUUUAUUUAUUUUGCAUGGAUUUCGAAUUUGAAAAGAAAUAUCAAUUUUCGUUUCCAUGGCAACCAACAUGAAUUCUCAUAUUACACUUGUUAAAAUUUAAAAUCUAACAUCAGUAGCAAUCGGUUAUUAAGAUUAUAUACUUUGAAUACAUAGAAAAUUGUAUUUUGAAUUACAUUGAAAAAUACAUCUCUGCUGUCAUAUCAUGACGAAAUGCAUCAUUUUGUUUCCAUGGAAACACAGUUAAGAUGGUAGAUUCCCAAACAUGUCUCAUUGUUAUAUGAUAGUACUAUAUCUAAUGUAUGUUGUACAAGCAUUUAUAGAUUUCAAGCUGAAUGCGGGAAUUUUUAUCCAUCAUUCAAAUUUGCCUCUAAAUUAGCUUUUUCAGAAUGUAUCAAACAACCCUCUUUUCCAGACAGAAUGAAAAUAUAACAGAAUUAUUCAAACCUUUAACUAAAUAUCAAACUAAAUAAUAAAAAUGCUAUAUAGUAUCAUUUGAUAAUGAUUAAAUAAGAACUCAAACAGGUUAAUCCAGUGUAGUUGAAUGAAAAAUGUCAUUUUCCAUGCGAAAAUUGACUCUUUUGUGACCUGAAUGGCAUGCACGUGUUACCAUGGCAACAGAGUUGCAUAUAUAGCAACCAAAUUAUGAUGGUUUUACAUUACUUAUGCCAGAUUAAGUCGAUGUGCCAAAUUUGAAAAAAAAUCGGUGACAGUGCGUGCCGGACCCCUUAUAUAAAUGUUUAAGUGGUUACAUAGAAUGGCUCUUAACUAACAUAUAAAAUUUAAUUUACAGAAAAAUAGGCAAAUCUCUGCAUCACCUUUCAAGUUUCCUGUUAAAUGAAUUCUUUGAUGACCAUCCAGAAUUUUUGAUGAAUCGUCUGCUAAGUGAUAUUAAUUCAUUUCUUCCAUUAAUUCUAGAGAGUUUGCAUCAAGGGGGAUAAUAAUUGUGUAAAAUAGUAGGCACCAGUGUAGAGUUCUGAGGGGUUUUACAAAAAAAUAGUAUAUUGUUUAACUGUUUUUAUUUACUAUAUUGGUAGUAUGAAUAGCUGUCUUAAAAACCGCAUGUAGACUUAAUGUCAGCCCUGCUGUGUUUCAGAGAAAAUAGUGUCUGAAAAUUUAAGAAGUCAUAAAUGCUCUUUUUUACCUUAAUUUAUGACUUAUUUUUAAGAAUAAGCAAGAAAAUACAUAUUUUUUUAAACACAAGUACAAUAAUUAAAGUGCUUUCUUGAAUUUCCAUUCACUGUACAUUGUUGGGAAAUUGUUUUAUUAGAAAUAUUUGUGAAAAGAUUAAAAACUCAAUAUCUAAUUAUUUAACUGUGAGCAUGGUCCGUUGCUAUGGAAACACGAUGUAUGGUUCUAGUAAUUUUCACUUUUUUAACAUUUACUAUCACUAUACACAAAAGUGUGAGAGUUAAGAAUGGUUCAGAUUUGUGAUUUUUGCACUUUCCACUUUUUUAAAGACAAUUCUCAAUGGUUACUGACAGCUUCUCUUAACACACCGUCUUAUCAUGGUAUACCCACAUACCAAAUAUCAAAGGCCUAUGUCAAAAGACAAAGUGCCCAGACAAACUUUGUAUGAGAAGCAGCAGAAGAAGAUAUUACACUAAAAAAAUGCCCCCCUUCUGGGAAAGGGAGACAUAAUUACAAAGGUAUGACCAUUUCAGUACCAAAUCAUGAAAUAAAGAAAUGUACAUGCACACACACACACAUGUGAGUAUGAUUCCAUACAUUUGUCACUGAAGAGGCCUAGUAUCAUAUACAUGUACCUUAGUAUGAAUUUCAUAAUGUUUGCAUCAAAUAGAAGUUAUAAGUUAUAUCUUAAAAUCAUCCCAACAGAAUGGAGCAUGAGUGCAUGCACUUGCUGAGCAGUAAUUUUAAUCAGCAAUUUAUAAAGAGUACCAAGACACACCUAAAGCCUGAUCAACAUCAGAAUUUGAUGAAAUUUAAAACAAAAAUGUUAUGGUCCUUUAAAAUUGAAUCUUCAAGAGAUGAUGCACACACAUGCGCAUUGGCAUUUUUUUUAUUACACCGUGCAAUCUAUAUGCAUGCAUAUUAUCUACCUAUAAUGCUGCAAAUAUCAACUCUUUCGCUUUAUUCAUAAGAGUUACAGGCAUUUUAGAGUUAUCCAAUAAAAAAGCACACGUGCAUGUGCGUGUAGAUUGGUAAUUUUGACCAUGCAGAUCAGUUAAGGGUCUCAAUAUCUACCUAGUAAUUAUAUAAAUAUCAAACCAUUUCAAUGAACAACAAAUCAAAGGCCUGAAGCCUCCCGGUUUGAGAGUCAACUCGCACUUGAUAAUGUCAACUAAAACAAUCUUCACGGAGCAAGACAGUAGUAAUCAAGGAUGAAGAACACCGUGUGUGUGUGUGUGUGUGUGUGUGUGUGUGUGUGUGUGUGUGUGUGUGUUUCUUUAGCAGGAUUUAUACUUUAAUGCACCAUGCCUGUGUAAAGUGACUAAAGUUGACUAAGUCAUGACCACUGCCAAAAUUCAAAUUAUAUAUCCAAUAUGGAUGUAAAGAGUCAUUGCUAAUUCAUGAUUGUGCUGAUGUACAAAUGCUAAGAAUUGGGGGAAAGUCAUUAUGUAGUCAUAUAGUACUUUAUAUUACAAUAGAAAAUCCUAAAAUAAGCACCACAGUGGUUGUAAGAAGACACUAUCCAACAAAAAAGUUUAGCAAAUCAAUACCUUGAGCUCAUACAAUGUUACAAUGACUAUGCAGUUGACAUAUGUAAGAAACAUUGCUGUUCUUACUGUACUGACUUUCAAUGAAUAUUUUUUUAAUAUAUUGAACAACUAGACAUAAAAAGCUACUAUCAAAACAAACAAGAAAACAAGGAAUAUUUGUCAAACAUAUAUCCCCAUGUGGUACAAAAUUGAAAAGGGUUAUUUACAUGCAUCACUUAAUUGAUAAUAGUGUCAAACCAAUUCAAGAUCAGGAGUUUAUAAUUUCCCUAUGUCCAAACUGGGCUGACCCUUGGCCUUUAACUUUGUGACCUAAAAAUAAAUAGGGGUUAUCUACUCCAUAGGAUGUACCAGUGUACCACGUUUGGUGUCAAUCAAUUAAGCAACCGAUUCUUGAAAUAUAUAUUAUUAUGUCCAGUUUGACCCUUGACCUUUAACCAUGUAAUCCAAAAUUAAUAGGGGUCAUUUAUUCCUUAUGAUAUACCAGAGUACCAAGUUUGACGUCUGCUAAGGAAAGAGUUCUCAAGAUAUUGAGCGGAGAGUAUAUUUCUAUGUCUAGUUCAACCCUUGACCUUUAACCAUGUGAUCUCAAAAUCAAUAGGAGCAGUCUACUCCCUCGGAUGUACCAGUCUUCUAAGUUUGAUGUCUGUCAAGCAAAGGGUUCUAAGAUAUUGAGUGGACAGCAUAUUCCUAUCUCUGAUUUGACCCUUAACCUUUAACCAUGUGACCUUAGAAUCACUAGGGAUUCAUCUACUCCUUAGGAUGUAUCAGUGUACCAAGUUUGAUGUCUGUCAAGCAAAGGGUCCUCAAGAUAUUGAGUGGACAGUGUAUUACUAUGUCAAGAGUGGAUUGGCCCUUGACCUUUUGACCUGAAAAUCAUUAGGGGUCCUCUUCUACUCAUAACCAACCAACAUAUGAAAUAUAACGAUCAAGUGAAUAGUUCUCAAGAUAUUGAGCGGACAUGUGGUCUACCGACCGACAAGUGCAAAUCAAUAUCCCCCCCCCCCCCAUCCCCCCCCACUCUUCUUCUUUGAAAGGGGUCAUCAGUAAUUGCUCACAGAAUCUCAAAUAUAGUCACAUGAAUUUAGAAAUAUGACAAGAGUUUCCGUACUUCGGAAAAACAUAAAUACUGAAUGUUACAAUGACAUUAAUGGGCUUCUAUACUUUUAUCCUUAAAGAAAAAACACAAUCGGAAUAAAGUAUAAUUAUACUUACUAAUUUUCACCUGUAUGUAACCGAAUAUAAUAUUAUCACCCUCAUGCAUAGCUCUGAUCCUUAGACGAAUUUGACACUUUGGCACUUUGUUUUAGUUCUUACAAGUUUAUUGUUAAUUCAAAUUUCCAAUAUUUCAGCUUGAGCAUCACAAAAGAGACAUCAUUUGUUGAAUUGUGCAUCUGGUGCAUCAAAAUUGGUACCGUAUGUUUUACAUAAUACAAACUUUUUUUUAUAAGGGGCACAUCUACUACAAGUAUAUACCACUAAAGGUUUUUGACUCAGUUUGUUAUAGUCUGUUAUAGUUUUUUUUUAGCGUUAUUUACCUAUUUAAAAGCGCAAAAUUGUAGAAAAAUUUAUGCUCACACCCAGUAACUACUUAUUAUAAAACAACCAAUUAAAAUUCAUCAUGUGCAACUUUUAAACUGCCAUGAUAUUAUGAUUCCGUGACUAGCACAUGUGUUGUGUACACGUGUUUUGUUACUUUUAAGUAAUAGUUCGUCAGUUUUUUCUCUCUGUUGUUGUACUAUUUGCACUGAAUUGACCAAGGUUGUUCUAGAAGGUUAUGUUUACUUUUCAUUGACACCUGUGACCGAAAUUGUUCUAGACUUAAGCUAUUAUUAGUAGAAAGAUUAAGUAAUAGCUUUCACUGGGAACUCAUGGUCUUUCAAGAUUGUACUAGAAAAUUCCUUUCUAUUAUAUACACACUGAAAUUCUUUUGAUAAAAAGCUCUGGUUAGACACUUUUUAUUCAUUUGUAUUUCACUUGGAACUACGAUUUUGGAUUAUUAUUUUUGUGUGUUUGGAUUUAUUGCUCAACUACCGCAAGUUAAUAUUUUGCUAUUGUAAAAAUUUUCUUUCAAUUAUUAAUUGUAAAUAAAUCUUAUUAAUUGUUUAAUUGCCUUUUGCUAGUAAAUUGUGCUGCGCUAUAUUAAGGGUUUGUUUUAACCCAUAACACUGGAUUUCUGCAUGCUGCACAAUUUUUAUGGGUCUGGGAAUAUUUGAAUACUUUUAAGCUUUUAAUUAAAUUAUUUCCUUUUGCAGUAAACGACUGAUGUAAUUACCCAUCUAAAUGUGACGAAAUUUUGGAGGUUGAUUGAAUUCUUCAUUUAGUACAUAUUGAAUUACUGGCUUUGAUUAUGAUUAUGUUUAUAACAAGACAUGCUUAUAAUCUCCCAAACGAGAUACUGGCUGUAUAAAAGUGGCUUUUUCUGAGUACUGAGUACUACUAAUUUCCUCCUUUGACAAAAUUCAUGCCAAUUUUAACUUCAUUUAAAAAAUCUAGAUCACAAAGACUUUGAUCUUGAUUUUUUUUUUUUAAAUCCCUUUUUUCCUUCAGUAAAACUGGUGUCACUUGACCUUGAUGCUAGGUUUGUAGGUCCCAACAUCCUCUUAUCAUUUUUGAUGAUCCAAUGUCUUUAUCAGUCCAGGUUCUAAAGUUAUACAAGUUUUUAUAAUCAAGGUCAAAGGUCAAUGGAGAUACUACUUUGUAGGUCACUACACCCUUUUUGAAGAGUCCAUGUCUCUAGCAGUCCCAGUUCUAAAGUUAUAAAAGACUUAUGUUUGAGGUCAGAGGUCAAGGUCACUGCUGUCACUUGACCUUGAUACCAAUUUGUAGAUCUCAUCACCCUUUUGUCAUUUCUAAAGAUUCCAUCUCUUUAUCAGACCUAAUUCUUAAGUAAUACCAAGUUUAUGAUCUAAGGUCAGAGGUCAGGGUCACUGGAGUCACUUAACCUCGAUACUAGUUUGUAGACUUAUGUUUGAGGUCAGAGGUCAAGGUCACCGCAGUAACUUGACCUUGGUACCAAUUUGUAUAUUUCAUCUCCCUUUUAUCAUUUCUGAAGAUUCCAUCUCUUUAUCAGACCUAGUUUUUCAGUAAUACCAAGUUUAUGAUAAAAGGUCAGAGGUCAGGGUCACUGGAGUCACUUAACCUUGAUACUAGUUUGUAGAUCUUAUCAUCCUCUUAUCAUUUCAGAAGAUACAAUGUAUCUAUCAAUUCCAGUUCUAAAAUCAUAUGACUUUGUAUGUUCAAGGUCAGAAGUCAAGGUCAUUGGAAUCACUUGACAUUGAUAUUGAUUCGUAUAUCUCAUCAUCCUUUCAUCGUUUCUGAAGAUCCCAUAUCUCUAUCAGACCUGGGGUGCAUUUUACAAAAGAACUUAUGACUUAAUACCAAAUUUUACAUGCUGGAAUUCUCCCGUUUAUUGUAAGAUAAUCCACUCCAAUGUAAAAUAGUGAAGAAAUAAUGUUGAAAAUUAAGUCUCAGGAAUGUUUUAAUUCCUUCUUUUAAACUAAUAACUGUGUAAUACAAUCUAAAACAAGCGAAUUUGUCUUAUUAAGUUCUUUUGUAAAACAGGUGCUUGGUUCUUUAAGUUAUACCAAUUCUCUGUUCUAAGGUCAAGGUCACUGAAAUCACUUGACCUUGAUACUAGAUUGCAGAUCUUAUUAUCUUCUUAUCAUCUAUGAAGGUCCCAUAUGUGUCUAUCAAUUCCAUGCAGUUUUAAAAUUAUAUAAGUCUGUAUGUUACACGUAAGAGGUCUUUAAGUCACUAGAGCCACUUGAACUUGUUACCAGUUUGUAAAUCCCAUCAUCCUUUCAUCAUUUCUGAAGACCCCAUGUCUCUAUCAGACCUGGUUCUUAAGUAAUACCAAUUUCAUGUUCUAAUGUCAGAGAGUCAUUGGAGUCACUUGACCUUGAUACUAGUUUGUAGGUCCUGUCAUCCUCUUGUCAUUUCUGUAGAUUCCAUGUCACUAACAGUCCCAGUUUUUAAGUUAUACCAGUUUUUAUGUUCAUUGGAUUCGCUUAACCUUGAUACUAAUUUGUAGGCCCUGUCACUCUCUAUUCAAUUCUGAAGACCCUAGGACUUCAUCUAUCAUAUUUGUCAAGCUAUAUCUGCUGAAUUUUGGAAUUAUUUCCCCCCAUAGAGUUCUAUGUUAAACCACAAACCCAUUUGGUCCAAUCAAAAUGUAUCCUAACCCCCUUCAAUCUGAAAACAAAACAUUUCUGUACAUCUAGAUACAUUGACCUAUCAUAUCCUUGAAUACUAAUUACUUUCAUCUACUGGUUGCAGAGAACGGUGUCGGACAGUUUUAGGUGCAAGAAAGAGGCGAAAGAAGAAGAAUAAGAACUGAGCAAAAACAAGAAGUUUCCAAACGUUGUUUGGGAGACUUAAUUACCAAGAAGAUAAAUGAAUAUAUCGCACAUUGGUACGUCAUUUUUCGCAGCUUUGGUGGUGUUUUCAUUACUACACACUCGUUCAAUUCUAAUACCAUAAGCUAUUGAAGUUUAAACAAAGACAAUAUCCAGUCUGUUCAAAUUUGCUCAAAUUAACCUUAUUUCCCAGAAAAUAUUCAGUAAAGAUUAUACCGCUAUGUAGUAUGUAUAAGGACAAGAUUUUACCGUUUUCUUUAUCUAAGCUAAUUCUAAUGUUCAGCAACAAUAUAAAACAAGAUGCGUUCUUAAAACCUCAAUGCCCUCAAAGUGCAUACACUAAUGAAAGGCUUUAAAUAAUAGGUGUAUUAACAUUAAAACAUCAAAAGAUAUGACUAAUUUGGACUCAUCCUAAAGUCAUAACCCUGGGUUAUGAAAUUCACCAUUUUUUGUACAUCCUUUUCUGUUAUUCCUAAGUAUGCAUUUAUUUUAUACAGACGUAUAAGCAAACUUACACAUCAAUAAAAUAUACUAAGUUUGUCCCCACCCUGGGGUCAGAACCCUUACUCUGGGGAUCAUCAAAUUUACAAUUUUGGUAGAGGCCUUCCUGCUACACGUGUACGAUUUUUGAGAAGAAAUUUUUUUGAAAAUUGGUCAAUUUUGGGCAGUUCUUGCCUGGCCCCUAAGGCCCAAGGGGUGCAGGAAUCCUGAAAUUUACACUUUAUGUCCCCCUUGUUCCAAAGAUGCUUCAUAACAAAUAUGAAAAGAAUUGGAAACAUAGUUAUCAGGAUGAAGUUAAAAAUGUAUACUAGCGGAAAAAAGAAACUGCGUUAUUUAAUAUAUGAAAAAAUAAUAAAAAAUAACAAUGAACAAAUUUUAUUUUUUUCUAAUACUGUUAACAAAUGUAUUUGUUACAACAUUUCAUAAUCCAUUAAUGUUAACGUCGAAUAACGUCAAUUUCAGCACACAUGAAAGACACUGGUAUUCGAACUUGAAUUAACAAAGUUAAUAACGCGUGUGACCACCAUUUGCAUUCGCGCAUGCUUGACAACAGCUCCUCAUUGAUGCCACUAAAAUUUUCAGAAAUGCUUGAGGGAUGUUGUUCCAGAUGUUGGUUAAAACCUGGACUAAAUCAGCCAAUGUCACUGGCUGAUUUGGUAAACGGCGUAGACGUCAUUCCUUUUCAUCCCAGACGUGCUCGAUCGGCGAUAAAUCGGGGGAAACAGCUGGCCAAGACAUCAACAUUCUGUUGAACAAAAAAGUCCCUGACUACACGUGCAACAUGUGACCUUGCAUUGUCUUGCUGCAGAGUGAUGUGAUUUUGCUGUCUCUCUAUGAAGGGUAUCACAUGGCGCUGAAUAAUUUCAUCUCGAUAGCGUACGCCGGUGAGAUUUCCAUUGACAAUUUCUAGAGGGGUCCUUCCACGUGCUGUUAUUCCACCCCACACCAUAACGCUACCUCCACCGAAUUGUCGACGUUGCACAACACAAGCAUCCUGGUACCGCUCCCCAACACGACGAUACACUCUACAACGGCCGUCUCUGCUAUCCAAAUGAAAUCUGGAUUCAUCAGUGAACAGAAUAUUGGCCCAGUCCUGUAUUCUGAAUCGCAGAUGUCGUCUGCACCAUGCUAGUCUAGCGAUAGAAUGACGUUGAAGCAGUAUUGGGCGCACCGCUGGACGUCUUGGUCUGAUGUUGUGCUCGCGCAGACGAUUACGCAGUUCUUGGACUAAUUGGUCGAAGUCCAGGAAUGCUACGAGCAGUCAAACUUGCUGUCUGGAAACGAUUUCUCAGUUGCACAAGUCGAAUGUGGUUGUCCUGUCAACGCGACGUCAGACUUGGUGUUCCGAUGAACUCCAAAGUGUCUUGCAACGAUAUUUUGUGCCAUUCCAGCUUGAAGCAUCCCAACAGCACGAUUACGUUGGUUUUCGCUGAGUCGUGGCAUGACAGAAGGGUAAAUUUUGUCAAAACUAAAGUGCUUUCCUUAACGAAUAGUGUCCAAACAAACCUUUUACACUUCUUACUCCAAACAGUAUUGGUCAGUAAAACUCGUGCGUACGAACACUUCAAUAAACAACAUGUGUUCAAUAACCAUGAAAAAGUCCGUACAUCUGAGUCGGGUACUAUCCGAUAUUGUUCAAAACAUCACCUUUAUCGAUUGCUUAGAUUUUAUAAAUAUAAACAAUAAAUAUAGAAAAAUUAUACUAAAUUUUAUAAUGCGCAGUUUCUUUUUUCCGCAAGUAUAUAUCAUGAUUGUAUAUUGUUCACACAUUUAAUAACUGCACCAUUUUGGACCCACCCCGAUACCAAAACCCCUACCCCUGGGAUCAUCAAAUUUACAAUUUUGGUAAAGGACUACCUGCUCAUUCUAAAUAUUUAUUUAGUUUCAAUAUAGUAUCAACAGCACUAAAAAGAUGUUAUUUAGGUGUUUUACACAUAAACAAUAUAUACCAAGUUUGGCCCCGCCCUGGGUUCAGAACCCCUACCCCAGGGAUCAUGAAAUUUACAAUUUUGGUAGAGGCAGGCUUUCAAGUGACAUUUUGCAAAAAAUAAGGGCCAUUUUUAGGGCAAAAAUUAUCAAACAAUAAGGGCCUUUUUAGGAUGUUUAAGGGCUUUUUAGACAAAAAUAAGGGCUAAAUUUACAAAUCAAUAGGAAAGAAAAAAUGUUUUACUCACCAUUUGCAAGAGCAAUAAUACAAAAACUAAUUACCCACUCAGAAGAUCAUACCAGUAGUCAUCAACAGCCAUAUUCGGCAUUCAGCACAAACUAUGAUAUAAUUCAGGUGAACUCCCAUGGCUCACAAUCAAUGCUGAAUAUAGCUGAUAACCAUCAAGAUGUCUUCUGAGAUGUACAUUUAAUCAACAUAUUCAUUUUCUGAAAGUAUACUAAGACAAAAUUUAAUAAAUUCCAACACUUACUUUAUGUCAAAUUUAUUUAAACUUUCAAAAUUUGAAAAUGUAGGAAUUUCAACCAAAAAUUUGGGCUUUUUAGGAUUCUAAAGCUCAAAUAAGGAAAAUAAGGGCUGUUGUAGAAAAAUAAGGAAAAUAAGGGCCCGCUUGAAAGCCUGUAGAGGCCUUCCUGCUCUCCAUCACCAUGCAUUUAGUUUUUCUUACACAUGUGCGGUUCUUGAGAAGAUUUUUGAAAAUUGGUCCAUUUUGGGCAGUUUUUGCCCCACCCCUAAGGCCCUAGGGGUGCUAGAAACCUGAAAUUUACAAUUUAUGUCCCCCUUGUCCCAAAGAUGCUUCAUACCAAAUAUGAAAAGAAUUGGACUGGUAGUUAUCAAGAAGUUAAAAAUGUUCAAUUGUUAACGCACGACGGACGACGGACAACACAUGACGACGGACGACACCCGAUUGCAAUAGGUCACCUGAGUUUACUGAGGUGACCUAAAAUACAGAAAUUAGAUAUAUCUUAUGAACGGAAGUGAAUUUUGAAAAAAUAUUUAAUGGUACUCUAGAGAUGGAUAAUGUCAAUAAUAUCUGUGAAAAUCGUAUCAAAAAACUUGAUUCAUAAGCGAAAUAUGUCGAUGUUUUUCUCUACAAACAGGAAGUUGCUGUUUAAACUUCCGGUAAGUCUAACAUUUUCUGAAACUCUGAAAGACACUUAAUUAUAAUUAUUCCAAGGAAGUUUGGUUUCAAAAGCAUGAAAUUCAUGCUUUUCAAUUUGAAAUGACGACCACAUGUGAUGAAUGACAGUGAUAAACCUUAUUACAGAGCUACAAGUCAACAUCUGUCAUCCCUGAGAGUUUCAAGACUCAAUCUAUCACCGUUUAUGAGAAAACACCUGCAGAAAAUGUCAUUUGAAAAAUGGAAAUUCAGUCGUAACCCACAAACGUGAACUGAAAUGGGCAAAAAUGAAAAAAAAAUCUGUUUUAGUUCAUGUUUUGUGGCAUGUUUGCUGAAAGUUUCAUAAAAAUCUAUCCAGCCGUUUUUGAGAAAUCGCGUGAAAAAGAACAAUAAUGAUAAAAGAGGAAAAGAAAUACAAGUAUCAAUAUAAGGUACGUCUUCCGUUGAGACAGAAGACCCGAAUAAUAAUAAUAAACCGUAGAAUCAUAAGAACCGAGCAAAAACCCAAUAAGUCUCCAAACUUUGUUUGGGAGACUUAAUAAUAGACCUUAAUAAUGAUAAAUCUAUAUCAAAAUGGGAAGAAACAGAAGGGUUUUCAGAGCUAGAAUGGAAAAGUAUAUUUGAACUUCCUUUUAAAACAACUCAAGAAUCUAAAUUGCAAUGGUUACAGUUUCAAAUCUUACACAGAAUAUUUCCAUGCAACUAUUAUUUACAUAAACUUAGAAUUGUUGAUUCCCCAAUUUGCACAUUUUGCAAGAGGGAUUUUGAAACUAUUGAUCACAUAUUUGUAGAAUGUCCAUGUGUGAAAGAGAUCUGGUACGGAAUUGAAUAAUGGCUUUGCGAAAAACUGGACAGGCAUAUUAGUUUUGAUAGACAAGCAAUUCUUUUUGGAAAAUUUGCUAAUAAGAAUGUACACAAGGUGGAAAAUUUGAUAAUUCUGAUGAUAAAGCAAUAUAUUUAUAUUAGUAAAUUCUCAAGUAUAAGCAAAUUAAGUAUAGAUGCAUCCAAAAAAAUUAUCAUUGAUAGAAUUACAGUUGAAAAACUUUUGUUGUUGAAAAACUGCAGGUAUAGGGAGUUUGAGAGAUACUGGCAAAAUAUUUAUAAUAAAUUAUGAUUGUAUUAAAGAGUUGGGGUUUUUUAAACCUAAGAUUGUGUUCCAUGCCCCCUUUGUUUUAUAUGUUCUUUCUUUCUUUCUCUCUUUCUCCUUCUUUAUAUUUAUGAAAAUGUCUUUUGCAUAUGAAUAUUGAUGAUAUUAUUGUGUAGUUAAAUUACAUAUAUGUAUAUUAUGUAAAUGUCAAAUAAAAAUCAAACAAUAAAAAAAAAAAGACC